GAGACGACACAGUGCCCUGCGGCCUCUUUUCCACACCCACCCCCAACCCCGCGCGGCGGCGCUCCCACGCUGACGGACCAGGCCACUGCCUCCCCCCUCCCCGUCCUCCACCUGGAUCGCGCCCGCGAGCGUCUCCUCCGCGGAGACAUGGCCGGCGACGACGGCAACGGCAACAGCAGCGCCGUCCGCGGCGGCGGCGGCGGGAGCGGCCAGGAGGAGGUCCAGAUAGAAAUCGCAGGAUCCUCCAAACCCGCAGUUUCCUUGGCCCAUGAAGCACCCCCACAAAGCGCUCCGGUUAAGCACUGGCAAUGGUGGUUGAUGGUGGUACUGAACAUGUUCUUCCUUGUGGCUGGUCAGACGUCGGCAACACUCUUAGGGAGAUUCUACUACAAUGAAGGUGGCAAUAGCAAAUGGUUGUCCACGUUUGUCCAGACUGCUGGUUUUCCGGUGUUGUUUGUUGCCCAAUUUCUUUUCCGUCCAAAGUCACCUUCCACACAAGCAACUACCAGUGGCCCUGAAGCUUCUAUCACCAAAAUCACUCUGAUAUACAUUGCCUUGGGACUCAUCAUUGCUGCAGACGACUUGAUGUAUUCCUACGGUCUAUUGUAUCUUCCUGUCUCAACUUACUCCCUCAUUUGUGCUAGUCAGCUGGCCUUCAACGCCGUCUUCUCAUAUUUUCUCAAUGCCCAAAAGUUCACCCCUUUGAUAUUCAACUCGGUACUACUCCUUACAUUUUCCGCUUCGCUCCUUGGAGUUGAUGAGGAUUCUCCGAGCAGUAGUGAUAUCUCUCAAGGGAAUCAUGUAUUGGGUUUUGUGUUGACACUGGGAGCAUCGGCCACAUACUCACUUAUUCUGUCUCUCAUGCAAGUUACGUUUGAAAAGGUUAUUAAGAGGGAGACCUUCUCAGUCGUGCUGAACAUGCAGAUUUAUACGGCAUUUGUGGCUACAUUGGCUUCUCUUGUUGGGUUGUUUGCAAGUGGUGAAUGGAAGACUUUGGAGGGAGAGAUGCACAUGUUCAGCCCAGGGAAGGUGUCCUAUGUAAUGACAGUGCUAUGGACAGCUAUAUCAUGGCAGAUAGCUUCUGUUGGAGUUGUGGGGUUGAUCUUUGUGGUUUCAUCACUCUUUUCAAAUGUGAUAAGCACUCUAGCUCUACCCAUCAUUCCUGUUUUCGCAGUGAUUUUCUUUCACGACAAAAUGGAUGGAAUAAAGAUUAUAGCUAUGCUGAUAGCCAUCUGGGGUUUUAUUUCAUACGGCUACCAGUUGUAUGUUGAUGACAAGAAGUCUAGGAAGACUUCGUCCAGUGUGGAGGAGAAUUCCUAAUGCUUUGGUGCAUUGUUUUCCAGACUUAAUUUCUUGGUACUCAAUGAGAAGGGGGGAAAAACUAAGCUGAAGUUACAACAAAGAGCACAAAGAGUGCUCCAAAGUGCUGCAUUAUCUGAAGCUCUGCACCUUAUGUGCUGCUCUGAAUACUUCUUUCACUUUGCCCGGUGGACAAUCCACUGCAACUCUUCUUCGAACUUGCGUCGACAAGCAUACUGGCUAUUCAGUCUUCAGGAUUAUUUUACUUACGUAAUGAAGAUUAUGUGCUCCUCUUAGUUGGCCAAGGUGUUUGAGGCCGAGAAGCUAAAGGUUGUUCCUAAUUCUCCUAGAGUGGCUCAUCUCCAACCACAGUAUUUUUGAGAAUCUGUUAUUCUACACGGCAAGAUGGUCCAAUCACCUUGUGCGUACAGUUUCGAUUAGCACAGUCAUGCGCUGCUUCACCAUACGCCUGUGCUUCCGUUGAAACUUCCAUGUUCACGGUUAUCCAGCGACACCUGAAAACAGCAGGAUGAGGGAGAAGUACGCGGCAGUCAUCCUUGAACUUUCCCACCCAAAAGGUUUUCGCUGUGCCCCCCUUAAAACUUAUCACCCAAGUGCUAAAAAUGGACCGGAACUCGUUGGUGUUCGUUGAAUACAAGGAAACGACUCAGAACUUUUAAAAUCUCAUAGUACUGAAAUUGCCUGUGAACUUUGACUGGCCCCAGUUUGAUUUUUUCAGCACGCAUUCUCGAAUCAUCGAGUAAAUAAGGAUGGUUUGAAGAAGAAAAAUGAUGUACAGAUUUGGUUCAGGUCAUUUGCUCUCUUGCAAAAUCUUCAGCAGUAGCAUGCAAGGAUCACAACACUAGGGCCAUCUCAAUGUUUUUUUUGUCUGAAGUGAAAGAGGGACUGCUUUCAGAGACAUGCAUAUCUUCCCUGCAUUAUUUUGAAGCAAAGGAUGAUCCGAGACCGACGCCAAAGCUGCCUUUAGGAAGUUGCUGCUGUGUAAUCGGAGUAACCAUACAUCCAUAGCAGAGCAUGUGCAGCAAUUGCCGCCUUAAUGCUGCAUGAGUGGUCUGGUUAGACAAAUAUUCCCCUCUGGAGUUUGGUUAGGCCACAUAAUUCUUCUGGCGUGAUUGUUAUAUACUUGCCACAUGAUGGGCACCCAACAAAAUUACUUCAAGCCAAGCCAAGGUCACCUGCUCUCAGAAUCUGCUUAGCGCACUGCUGAAGAGCGUGUGCUGGCAAGGAUUUUUUCUCCAUAAAGCUAUUGGUAUGUUUGCCUGUGUUGUGAUACAUGCAUGCAUGUUCCUGUUUGUCUAUGAUUGGGCUGUGUUUAGGUGACGAGCCGUUGGAGGAAAAGGCAAAGAAGUGAUUUGGUUUGCUGAAAUGCCGUGCAAAUGAUUUUGGCAGAAAGAUUGCAUGUGGGCCUCAUGUUACCCUCUUUUAGUAAUAAUAGAUUUAUGUUAAAGAAAACAUAUGCAUUGCACACUGCUGACGUUCUAGAGUCUGGGCAAUGGGAAGAUG